GGGGGGGGGGGGGGGGGGGGGGGGGGGGGGGGGGGGGGGGGGCGGCGCGGUGGGGGGUGGGGCUGGCGGGGGGGGGGUGGCGGGGGGGGGAGGAGUACAUCGGGAUCUACUUUUUCGUGGGGGAUAACGUAGGGAAACUUACGCUAAUACCGCAUACGACCUACGGGUGGAAGCAGGCGAUCUUCGGACCUUGCGCGAUUGAAUGAGCCGAUGUCGGAUUAGAUAGUUUGCGGGGUAACGGCCCACCAAGGCGACGAUCCGUAGCUAGUCUUAGAGGAUGAUCAGCCACCCGGGAACUGAGACACGGUCCAGACUCCUACGGGAGGCAGCAGUGGGGAAUAUUGGACAAUGGGCGAAAGAAUGAUACAGCCAUACCGCGUGGGUGAAGAAGGCCUUCGGGUUGUAAAGCCCUUUUGUUGGGAAAGAAAAGCAGCAGGUUAAUACCCCGCUGUUCUGACGGUACCCAAAGAAUAAGCACCGGCUAACUUCGUG
rnacentral:rRNA from 1 species